rnacentral:rRNA from 1 species
CAACCCUCGAGCCCCUCCGGGGGGUCGGCGUUGGGGAUCGGCCUCCUCCCUCCGCGGGCGGGGGGCCGGCCCCGAAAUUCAGUGGCGGUCUCGCCGCAGCCUCUCCUGCGCAGUAGUUUGCACACUCGCACCGGGAGCGCGGCGCGUCCAAUGCCGUAAAACAACCCAAACCUUCUGGAAUG